AGGUGAACCUGCGGAGGGAUCGUUACAAGUGACCCCGGUCUAACCACCGGGAUGUUCAUAACCCUUUGUUGUCCGACUCUGUUGCCUCCGGGGCGACCCUGCCUUCGGGCGGGGGCUCCGGGUGGACACUUCAAACUCUUGCGUAACUUUGCAGUCUGAGUAAACUUAAUUAAUAAAUUAAAACUUUUAACAACGGAUCUCUUGGUUCUGG
rnacentral:misc_RNA from 1 species